rnacentral:rRNA from 1 species
GAUGAACGCUGGCGGCGUGCCUAAUACAUGCAAGUCGAGCGAACGGACGAGAAGCUUGCUUCUCUGAUGUUAGCGGCGGACGGGUGAGUAACACGUGGAUAACCUACCUAUAAGACUGGGAUAACUUCGGGAAACCGUAGCUAAUACCGGAUAAUAUUUUGAACCGCAUGGUUCAAAAGUGAAAGACGGUCUUGCUGUCACUUAUAGAUGGAUCCGCGCUGCAUUAGCUAGUUGGUAAGGUAACGGCUUACCAAGGCAACGAUGCAUAGCCGACCUGAGAGGGUGAUCGGCCACACUGGAACUGAGACACGGUCCAGACUCCUACGGGAGGCAGCAGUAGGGAAUCCUCCGCAAUGGGCGAAAGCCUGACGGAGCAACGCCGCGUGAGUGAUGAAGGUCUUCGGAUCGUAAAACUCUGUUAUUAGGGAAGAACAUAUGUGUAAGUAACUGUGCUCAUCUUGACGGUACCUAAUCAGAAAGCCACGGCUAACUACGUG